GGGUGUCAGUUGGAAAGUGCUGGCCUCCUCUCCAGGGGAAACAGGAAGGUGUGUGUGGCCUGGGCCAGUCAGAAGUCACAAGAAGUCACUGAAGUCAAUCAAAAUGAAUUUUCCAUGCACAGAAAGGAUGUACUGUUACUAUUCAUUGUGGUCCUGCUGUAGGGGCUUAGAUCAGAAAAAUCAGAAUUUCUUUUUACCAAGUAUAAAUAAAACUGUACUUAACCCAACAGGAAACAAGCAAUGGACGCUAUGAUUCUGUGUCUCCUGGGGGAAGGACCCUUGAGGGUUAAGAAGACAUACGUAGAGGAAGCAGUGUCAGGGAGGACUUUUUGGAAUUCGGAUGGGAAGGUGCUCUUUAAGACUCAGCCUUUCUCGCUUCUCUGGAAGACGAGAAGAGUUCACUGGCAUGUGCAGUGGCAUCCUGAUCUUUAGAACCCCUUUGAGUCUGUGAAAGAGACCCAUUGCUCAGGAGUUGGUCAAAUAAUGAAGAGAAUGUAAGAGACUCAACAGACGAAAAUGAGGCUUUGGGUAAAGAUAGAUGAACCCACAAAACUGGCUUCUUUCUCAAGACCUACUAAAAAGAAGAAAACACAUAUUCUUAACCUGUACAGUUAAACCUACAAAAGGCAAAAAUUGUGGGAAUCAAGUAUCAACUUGUGGUAGUUAAUAGUGAUUUUGAACUUGACAGGAUCUAGACUCACCAGGGAGACAAGCCUCUGUGCAUGUCUGUGAGGGGCUUUCUAGAGGGAAGGCCCACUAAGUGCUGAUGGCACCAUACCGUGGGUGGCUCCUGGAUUGGCUAAGAAGUGAGCUCAGGGGCUCAAGGAAAGCAGUUCACAGGACAGAGAAGAUGGGUAGGUCCAAAGAGAGAGACUUUUUUAAAAGAUAAUUUUUAAAAGAUUUAUUUUAAAACAAACUUUACAUCUUUCUUCUAUAGAUGAAAUCCCACUCCUACCCCCUUUUAAAGAAGGAAACCGUGGAGAAAAAAGAAGACUUCACAAAUUUGUGGUGUCAGGAUUGCUAACUCCAGGAAGUUAAAACUGAGCAGGUCUGGGAGCCCACAGGGUGAUAGCCUAAGCAGAUCACUGGAAGAGCGACACCUACAGUUGUGACCAGAGUCAAAAGCAGUCACAAUCAAGACUGGGCUCUGAAGUACCACUGCUGUCUUCAAUUUGAGACCAGCCACUGGCCAGAUGGCUAGGGAAAUCUUCAUGGUGCUGAUGCCAAUAAGAGGGCUAUGUUUGAAUGUUGAGAAGACGUGGUCUUAAAAACAGGAGCAGAGAAACAAUCAUUACAGCAAGAAAGGAGCUAGCUGGCCAGGAAGUGUUGUGCUGUGGACACGUAAGAGCUGAGGAGACCAGCCUGGGUCUGUUCCUGUGAUGCCAACAGGUCACUGAAUGAGCUGUCUUUCAGCGGGAACUCCCCAGCGCUGGGCGGUAGGUCCCCAGUCCGACGCCUCCCGAGACCCGCCUAUCCGGGCUCCCUGCCCAGAGGCACCCGGCAUCCCAGGCACCAAGAGGCAGAGGCGCGAGAGAAGCGCGGGAGGACAGGGACCACAGAGCCCGAGGGCCACCAGGAACGCAGCAGAGACUGGGGUGUCUGUCUAACCCUGGGCCAGACCGGGAGCGCGAAAGAAAGAACUCCAGGCAAAGACCCUUUCAAUUCACCUUAGUGACUUGCAGCUGGGAAUCUGCGAAGCUCACCCUACUGCCGCUGUAUGCGCAGCAUUUGAAUCCCUCUCUCUUCACACAGUGCGAUGCAUCCUUUCAAAACUGCCCAUUAGGUGGAUUAGAAUGUACUGGGGACACGGCAGCAGCUUCUAACCAGGGGAACCAACCUGGGCCCAAGGUUACUGAUUCCAAAUUCUUUCCCUUUUUAGCCACAUUCCAACAAUAAUUGAUGACAGAAUCUCAGUGGGACCCUGUUGACUUCACCGAGGAAAUGACGGCAUAUCCCGGAGAUAAAUACAUAUAUGAUAUAGAGCACACACACACACACACACACACACACACACACACACACACACACACCUACACAUAGGUAUGACAGCAAGUACACUUUCUCAGCACUUGAAUUGGGGAAUGUUGGCGAACUUAUUUUAGAAACAUAAUUGUUUCUCAACACGUCCAGUAGAUUGAUUGCUGAAAUCUCUCAUUUGCAUUCUCCUUUUGUCAUUUCAUGUCACUUUGUUACUUGAACAUGGCUGUUAAUUUUAAUCCAAUCCACAGUCCUCCAUCCAGGUCUGUCUGGUUCUUAGAGGAGUUGUGUGAAGUAAUUCAGGAUGCUAGUUCUGACAGGGACAGAGUGAAGAAUGGCUGUUUCAUCUUUCCCUGAAAUUUCACUCUUCUGAGAAUGUUAGUGAUAGCCUUCAUUCUUUCCUGUGUUGAGAUUUUUCCCAACAAGAAAUGCAAUAAUCAUUAUUGUAUAAUUUAUUUAAUUUUACUGUUUUGAGACAGGGUUUCUCACUGUGUAGCCCUGGUUGUCCUGGAACUCACUCUGUAGACCAGGCUGGU